AUACGGAGGGUGCAAGCGUUAAUCGGAAUUACUGGGCGUAAAGCGCACGCAGGCGGUCUGUCAAGUCGGAUGUGAAAUCCCCGGGCUCAACCUGGGAACUGCAUUCGAAACUGGCAGGCUUGAGUCUCGUAGAGGGGGGUAGAAUUCCAGGUGUAGCGGUGAAAUGCGUAGAGAUCUGGAGGAAUACCGGUGGCGAAGGCGGCCCCCUGGACGAAGACUGACGCUCAGGUGCGAAAGCGUGGGGAGCAAACAGGAUUAGAUACCCUGGUAGUCCACGCCGUAAACGAUGUCUAUUUGGAGGUUGUGCCCUUGAGGUGUGGCUUCCGGAGCUAACGCGUUAAAUAGACCGCCUGGGGAGUACGGCCGCAAGGUUAAA
rnacentral:rRNA from 1 species